AUGAGUCUUCUGGUUGUCAGCAGGUCUGGAGGAGGUGCUGUGGGUGGCCCUGUCUGGUCCUGGGGUCAGCGCCGAUGGCCACUUGGUCUGAAUUCCUGUGGCUCCUCAGAGCCAAGGAAGCAACAGCAAAGAUGCAGAGAAGCUGAAGCAAAGGCCCUGAGGAGGCAAAAGGGCGAGGCACGCCACCCUCCCGGGCUGCUCCUGUGGGCUGGGGACACUGUAGGCAGGGGCUGCUGUGUCCCCAGUGGGAAAGGACAGGGAAGCGGCUGCAGCCACACUGGGAGCUCCAGGCCUGUGGCACCGAGGAGCGGCCACACAGGGUGGUGGAGCCUUCCUGCUGGGUCAGCUUCUUCUGCACAUAUGGAGCCUGCAGGGGUGCAGGACAGGAGGAGGGGUUAGAGGCCCAGUGCGCCAAGGAUACCCCACAGGAGGGCAGAAGGAGGGAGGCUGCUGUGUGCCUGGGGCCUCCGGAGCCCUGGGCCAAGACCAG
rnacentral:lncRNA from 1 species